GGGWGAAGUCGUAACAAGGUAGCCGUAUCGGAAGGUGCGGCUGGAUCACCUCCUUUCUAGAAAAUGGUCGAGCAGUUGUUUGCUGCAUGCAGCAGAUGGCCAGCGAGAUCCACAUGACUCAUUUUUAAGCGCCCACACUUAUCGGCUGUGAAUACAACAUCAGAGUAAUAGCGUGAGCCUGCCAAGCUGGCCUCAACAGGCGAGCGUUACUGAGAGGCAGUGCACGCAAGCAAACGCGUGGGUCUGUAGCUCAGUCGGUUAGAGCACCGUCUUGAUAAGGCGGGGGUCGCUGGUUCGAAUCCAGCCAGACCCACCACGGAUUUGAAGAGAUCCCGGGGGAUUAGCUCAGCUGGGAGAGCACCUGCUUUGCAAGCAGGGGGUCGUCGGUUCGAUCCCGUCAUCCUCCACCAAUUACUCUGUGCCAUGGUUGGACAAACCAAAGCAUCCGUUGCGCGAAAGCGUGAGCGGUUGUUCUGGUUUGUCAGUCAUAAGGCUCGAAAGANUCGGCUGUUGUUCUUUAACAAUUUGUAGAGUNNAAUCANCGCUGCUAGCGGGAAGCGCCAUCUCGUAAANGGGGGUGAGCGUACCGUGCCCUAGUAGCUUUUGAUGCGUUCAAACACAGACUU
rnacentral:misc_RNA from 1 species